GUCCACGCCGUAACGAUGAAUACUAGGUGUCGGGUUAUAAACCUUCGGUGCCGCAGCUAACGCAAUAAGUAUUCCACCUGGGAGUACGUUCGCAAGAAUGAAACUCAAAGGAAUUGACGGGACCCGCACAAGCGGUGGAGCAUGUGGUUUAAUUCGAAGCAACGCGAAGAACCUUACCAAAUCUUGACAUCCCGAUGACCGGCAUUUAAUUUGCCUUUUCUUCGGGAACAUCGGUGACAGGUGGUGCAUGGUUGUCGU
rnacentral:rRNA from 1 species